UUCUCCUGGAAAACGGGUGGUAAUGCCGGAUGCUCCAGUUGAUCGCAUGGUCUUCUGGGAAAGCUUUCGCGGUAUGGGAUGGGGUCGCGUCCUAUCAGCUUGACGGCGGGGUAACGGCCCACCGUGGCUUCGACGGGUAGCCGGCCUGAGAGGGCGACCGGCCACAUUGGGACUGAGAUACGGCCCAGACUCCUACGGGAGGCAGCAGUGGGGAAUAUUGCACAAUGGGCGCAAGCCUGAUGCAGCGACGCCGCGUGAGGGAUGGAGGCCUUCGGGUUGUAAACCUCUUUUAUCGGGGAGCAAGCGAGAGUGAGUUUACCCGUUGAAUAAGCACCGGCUAACUACGUGCCAGCAGCCGCGGUAAUACGUAGGGUGCAAGCGUUAUCCGGAAUUAUUGGGCGUAAAGGGCUCGUAGGCGGUUCGUCGCGUCCGGUGUGAAAGUCCAUCGCUUAACGGUGGAUCCGCGCCGGGUACGGGCGGGCUUGAGUGCGGUAGGGGAGACUGGAAUUCCCGGUGUAACGGUGGAAUGUGUAGAUAUCGGAAAAGAACACC
rnacentral:rRNA from 2 species